rnacentral:rRNA from 1 species
GACGAACGCUGGCGGCGUGCUUAACACAUGCAAGUCGAACGGAAAGGCCCUGCUUGCCGGGUACUCGAGUGGCGAACGGGUGAGUAACACGUGGGUGAUCUGCCCUGCACUUCGGGAUAAGCUUGGGAAACUGGGUCUAAUACCGGAUAGGAACCAUCUUUAGUGUGGUGGUUGGAAAGUUUUUUCGGUGUAGGAUGAGCUCGCGGCCUAUCAGCUUGUUGGUGGGGUAAUGGCCUACCAAGGCGGCGACGGGUAGCCGGCCUGAGAGGGUGUACGGCCACAUUGGGACUGAGAUACGGCCCAGACUCCUACGGGAGGCAGCAGUGGGGAAUAUUGCACAAUGGGCGCAAGCCUGAUGCAGCGACGCCGCGUGGGGGAUGAAGGCCUUCGGGUUGUAAACUCCUUUCGCUAGGGACGAAGCGUUGUUGUGACGGUACCUAGAGAAGAAGCACCGGCUAACUACGUG